GAUGAACGCUAGCGACAGGCUUAACACAUGCAAGUCGAGGGGCAACAGGGAGUGUGCUUGCACACUCUGCUGGCGACCGGCGCACGGGUGAGUAACACGUAUGCAACCUGCCCUUUACAGAGGGAUAAUCGGAAGAAAUUUCGUCUAAUACCUCAUAACACCUUUUUUCCGCAUGGGAUUAAGGUCAAAGAAUUUCGGUUAAAGGAUGGGCAUGCGGAGCAUUAGGUAGUAGGCGGGGUAACGGCCCACCUAGCCGACGAUGCAUAGGGGUUCGUGAGAGGAAGGUCCCCCACACUGGAACUGAGACACGGUCCAGACUCCUACGGGAGGCAGCAGUGAGGAAUAUUGG
rnacentral:rRNA from 1 species